rnacentral:lncRNA from 1 species
UUUGCUAUCAUGGCUAAAUACAGAAUAUCCUGGUUUAAGUUAAUCCUAGGGGGGAGGUGGUAUUAUUAAUCCUAAGAAAUCUGGAUUAAUAAUACUGGGUCGUGGGAUUAAAUCGGGUCAUCCGCAUUAUUACUAAAUAAUACCAAACACUAGACUGAUCUGUAUUAAAUUAGCUAAUACAGUGUAUUAGCCAAUAUCAAACACGCCC